rnacentral:lncRNA from 1 species
GUUCGUUUCUAUGUGUGUUACAUUUUAACGUUGCGUCGUUUGUUUUCUCUUAUUUUUGAGUGUAAAUUCACAUUGCGAUAAGACGUGUCACGGUACUUGUCUAUCCCAAAUUCACGUAUUUGGUUUUGAUGUUGUGUUUGUUAUUCUCGUGGGAUUUUGUCUGAUGCUUGGUCCGUUUCUGUGUGUGUUACAUUGUAGUGUUGUGUCGUUGUUCUCCUCUUGUAUUUGAUGCGUUUCCCUCGGUUUUAGUUCGUUAUCCCGAUUUUGUUUUU